GGUUAAGUUAGAAAGGGCGCACGGUGGAUGCCUUGGCACUAGGAGCCGAAGAAGGACGGGACUAACACCGAUAUGCUUUGGGGAGCUGUACGUAAGCGUUGAUCCAGAGAUUUCCGAAUGGGGGAACCCACUAUCUUUAGUCGGAUAGUAUCCUUACGUGAAUACAUAGCGUGAGGAAGGCAGACCCAGGGACCUGAAACAUCUAAGUACCUGGAGGACGAGAAAGAAAAAUCGAUUUCCUGAGUAGCGGCGAGCGAAACGGAAAGAGCCCAAACCAAGAAGCUUGCUUCUUGGGGUUGUAGGACACUCUAUACGGAGUUACAAAAGAAAGUUAUAAAUGAAGCGGUCUGGAAAGGCCCGCCAAAGACGGUAACAGCCCGGUAGUUGAAAUGGCUUUCCCUCCAGAGUGGAUCCUGAGUACGGCGGAACACGUGAAAUUCCGUCGGAAUCCGGGAGGACCAUCUCCCAAGGCUAAAUACUCCCUAGUGACCGAUAGUGAACCAGUACCGUGAGGGAAAGGUGAAAAGCACCCCGGAAGGGGAGUGAAACAGUUCCUGAAACCGUGUGCCUACAAGUAGUUAGAGCCCGUUAAUGGGUGAUAGCGUGCCUUUUGUAGAAUGAACCGGCGAGUUACGAUUUGUUGCAAGGUUAAGCGGAAAAAGCGGAGCCGUAGCGAAAGCGAGUCUGAAUAGGGCGCAUAAGUAACAGGUCGUAGACCCGAAACCAGGUGAUCUACCCAUGUCCAGGAUGAAGGUAAGGUAAUACUUACUGGAGGUCCGAACCCACGCACGUUGAAAAGUGCGGGGAUGAGGUGUGGGUAGCGGAGAAAUUCCAAUCGAACUUGGAGAUAGCUGGUUCUCUCCGAAAUAGCUUUAGGGCUAGCCUCGAGGUAAAGAGUCAUGGAGGUAGAGCACUGUUUGGACUAGGGGCCCUUCUCGGGUUACCGAAUUCAGAUAAACUCCGAAUGCCAUGUACUUAUACUCGGGAGUCAGACUGCGAGUGAUAAGAUCCGUAGUCGAAAGGGAAACAGCCCAGACCACCAGUUAAGGUCCCCAAAUAUAUGUUAAGUGGAAAAGGAUGUGGGGUUGCUUAGACAACCAGGAUGUUGGCUUAGAAGCAGCCACCAUUGAAAGAGUGCGUAAUAGCUCACUGGUCGAGUGACCCCGCGCCGAAAAUGUACCGGGGCUAAACAUAUUACCGAAACUGUGGAUGAACCUCUUUAGAGGUUCGUGGUAGGAGAGCGUUCUAAGGGCGGUGAAGUCCGACCGGAAGGACUGGUGGAGCGCUUAGACGUGAGAAUGCCGGUAUGAGUAGCGAAAGAAGGGUGAGACUCCCUUCCACCGAAUAUCUAAGGUUUCCUGAGGAAGGUUCGUCCGCUCAGGGUUAGUCGGGACCUACGCCGAGGCCGAUAGGCGUAGGCGAUGGACAACAGGUAGAGAUUCCUGUACCAGUGCUAAUUGUUUAACCGAUGGGGUGACACAGAAGGAUAGGGAAUCGCACGAAUGGAAAUGUGCGUCCAAGCAGUGAGUGUGAGAAGUAGGCAAAUCCGCUUCUCGCGAAGCAUGAGCUGUGAUGGGGAAGGAAAUUAAGUACGGAAGUUCCUGAUUUCACGCUGUCAAGAAAAGCCUCUAGGAAGAGUAGUACUGCCCGUACCGCAAACCGACACA
rnacentral:rRNA from 1 species